AACGAACGCUGGCGGCGUGCCUAACACAUGCAAGUCGAACGGGGAUAGGGAGCUUGCUUCCUAUUCUAGUGGCGCACGGGUGAGUAACGCGUAGAUAUUCUGCCUGACGAUCCGGGAUAACAUCUCGAAAGGGGUGCUAAUACCGGAUAAGCCCACGGGGUCUUUGGAUCUUGCGGGAAAAGGGGGGGACCUUUUGGCCUUCUGUCGUCAGAUGAGUCUGCGUACCAUUAGCUAGUUGGUAGGGUAAAGGCCUACCAAGGCUACGAUGGUUAGCUGGUUUGAGAGAAUGAUCAGCCUCACUGGAACUGAGACACGGUCCAGACUCCUACGGGAGGCAGCAGUGGGGAAUUUUGCGCAAUGGGCGAAAGCCUGACGCAGCAACGCCGCGUGAGUGAUGAAGGCUUUCGGGUCGUAAAGCUCUGUCGAGGGGAAAGAAGUGUAUUGUGGCUAAUAUCCGCGAUACUUGACGGUACCCCUAAAGGAAGCACCGGCUAACUCCGUGCCAGCAGCCGCCGUAACAC
rnacentral:rRNA from 1 species